rnacentral:rRNA from 1 species
CGGCAAUUAGAUCCGUAACUUCGGGAUAAGGAUUGGCUCUGAAGAUUGAGAUAGUCGGGCUUGAUUGGGAAACAAUAACAUGGUUUAUGUGCUCGUUCUGGGUAAAUAGAGUUUCUAGCAUUUAUGUUAGUUACUUGUUCCCCGGAUAGUUUAGUUACGUAGCCAAUUGUGGAACUUUCUUGCUAAAAUUUUUAAGAAUACUAUUUGGGUUAAACCAAUUAGUUCUUAUCAAUUAUAACGAUUAUCAAUUAACAAUCAAUUCAGAACUGGCACGGACUUGGGGAAUCCGACUGUCUAAUUAAAACAAAGCAUUGUGAUGGCCCUAGCGGGUGUUGACACAAUGUGAUUUCUGCCCAGUGCUCUGAAUGUCAAAGUGAAGAAAUUCAAGUAAGCGCGGGUCAACGGCGGGAGUAACUAUGACUCUCUUAAGGUAGCCAAAUGCCUCGUCAUCUAAUUAGUGACGCGCAUGAAUGGAUUAACGAGAUUCCUACUGUCCCUAUCUACUAUCUAGCGAAACCACAGCCAAGGGAACGGGCUUGGAAUAAUUAGCGGGGAAAGAAGACCCUUUUGAGCUUGACUCUAAUCUGGCAGUGUAAGGAGACAUAAGAGGUGUAGAAUAAGUGGGAGAUAUUAGACCUCGGUUUGGUAUCGUCAAUGAAAUACCACUACUCUUAUUGUUUCCUUACUUACUUGAUUAAAUGGGAACGUGUAUCAUUUCCUAGCCAUUAUACGGAUAUAUUUAUUAUAUCUUAUGGUAUUGGGUUUUGAUGCAAGCUUCUUGAUCAAAGUAUCACGAGUUUGUUAUAUAAUCGCAAACAAAUUCUUUAAUAAAACGAUGCAUUUAUGUAUUUUUGAUUUGAAAAUUUGGUAUAACUCCAAUUACUCAGGUAUGAUCCAAUUCAAGGACAUUGCCAGGUAGGGAGUUUGACUGGGGCGGUACAUCUCUCAAAUAAUAACGGAGGUGUCCCAAGGCCAGCUCAGUGCGGACAGAAACCACACAUAGAGCAAAAGGGCAAAUGCUGACUUGAUCUCGGUGUUCAGUACACACAGGGACAGCAAAAGCUCGGCCUAUCGAUCCUUUUGGUUUAAAGAGUUUUUAACAAGAGGUGUCAGAAAAGUUACCAUAGGGAUAACUGGCUUGUGGCGGCCAAGCGUUCAUAGCGACGUCGCUUUUUGAUCCUUCGAUGUCGGCUCUUCCUAUCAUUGUGAAGCAAAAUUCACCAAGCGUUGGAUUGUUCACCCAUGCAAGGGAACGUGAGCUGGGUUUAGACCGUCGUGAGACAGGUUAGUUUUACCCUACUAAUGACAAAACGUUGUUGCGACAGCAUUCCUGCGUAGUACGAGAGGAACCGCAGGUACGGACCAAUGGCACAAUACUUGUUCGAGCGAACAGUGGUAUGACGCUACGUCCGUUGGAUUAUGCCUGAACGCCUCUAAGGUCGUAUCCGUGCUGGACUGCAAUGAUAAAUAAGGGGCAAUUUGCAUUGU